UUUCUUUAAUUGGCAGCACAUACACUAAAUUUGGAACAAUACAGAGAAGAUUAGCAUGGCCCUGUGCAAGGAUGACAUGCAAAUUCAUGCCUGGUGCAAUGACAUC